rnacentral:lncRNA from 1 species
ACCCAUCCUGUUCUCCCGACUAUCCCUGGGUGCUGCCAGCAGGAAUGAGGCCUGGCUCAGGCUCAGUGGGAGACGGAGAACAUGUCAGCCUGUUCAUUUUCCAGUUUCUAAUCCUCUUGAUAAAAGAACAAAAUGCAGUAAAGUCAGAUUCUGCUUGGAGGCUGCAGGAAGGCAGGGACUAGAAGUUGUUCCUGAAACUACGGUCUCAAGAGAUGCUCCCCACAUAAAAGGAGUUCUAGUAUCCAUUGGGUUUGAGAAACCCCAGGCUCUUCCUGUGUUGGGGCUGAGUCGGCAGGGGCAGCAGACACAACGCGGAGGUGUGCUUCUGAGCAUCACACUCGGCCCUCCUCUCCAAGUAGCCUCUCGUUGUCCCUGUCCUUUCUGCCCUGGCUGUCCCCCGUGCUGGAGCUCCCACAGUUGUCCAUGCCAUCUCCUCGCCUUGGCAAGCCCCACUCCUGGAUCUGGCUGCUGUAUGUUUCCAGGAAACUUCUAGGACAGAGGCUAUUCAACAAGCUCAUGAAGAUGACCUUCUAUGGGCAUUUUGUAGCCGGGGAGGACCAGGAGUCCAUCCAGCCCCUGCUUCGGCACUACAGGGCCUUCGGUGUCAGCGCCAUCCUGGACUAUGGAGUGGAGGAGGACCUGAGCCCCGAGGAGGCAGAGCACAAGGAGAUGGAGUCCUGCACCUCAGCUGCGGAGAGGGAUGGCAGUGGCACGAGUAAGCGGGACAAGCAAUACCAGGCCCACCGGGCCUUCGGGGACCGCAGGAAUGGUGUCAUCAGUGCCCGCACCUACUUCUACGCCAAUGAGGCCAAGUGCGACAGCCACAUGGAGACAUUCUUGCGCUGCAUCGAAGCCUCAGGUAGAGUCAGCGAUGACGGCUUCAUAGCCAUUAAGCUCACGGCACUGGGGAGACCCCAGUUUCUGCUGCAGUUCUCAGAGGUGCUGGCCAAGUGGAGGUGCUUCUUUCACCAAAUGGCUGUGGAGCAAGGGCAGGCGGGCCUGGCUGCCAUGGACACCAAGCUGGAGGUGGCGGUGCUGCAGGUGGGGCAGCCUUCCCCUUCCCUACUCCCGUGGCUUGUGAGGGGUGGGCACCGUGGGGUCACACAGGGCAUGGUGGGCAGUGGUCGGAGGUGGUUUUGGGAACUCACCCAGGGCACGUGGCUCACUCUGCAGCUGCUGGGGUUGGCCUGGUGGGGAGGAGGAGGUCGGAGGGACUCUGAACAGAGAGGGGAGAUGCUGGCAGGAGGGCUGGAGACCCAGCCCUGCAGGGCGUGGGCGUGCAUCAGCAGCGGGGUGGGAAUAGACCUGUCUAUGCAGUAGAAACAAACCAGACAUGGAUCCUGUUCUUACUAACGAUGCAAUAAAGCCAGAAACAGCACCAGAGGCCAAUGGGUGGGGGGAAGGAUAAAAUAUGAGUGAAUGGGGCUGAUCCAGGCCUUCUCACUUCUCAAGGAAAGUGUCGCAAAGAUGGGCAUCGCAUCCAGGGCUGAGAUUGAGGACUGGUUCACGGCAGAGACCCUGGGAGUGUCUGGGUGAGAGCAGCCCCCAGGCUGAGAGGACACGAGCAUCAGCCAUGGUUCCAGCCAAGCCCCAGUGACGUCUCCCAGUCCUGGCUGCCCUGCCUGAGAGGGUGGGCCCUGGGAUGACAGUGCUGAAGGAACUGCUUUUCACACAGCAGGACUUGAUGGCUUCAGGAGUCCCUGAGGCUGGGGCUGGGCUGGGCAGGGGAGACACAGGGCCAGCACAGACCCCAUAGAGGGCUCUUUAUAGAAUUAUCUGGGUCUAGAGCAAAGGUGGCACUCUCAGCCCUCCCUGGAGUCCACGCUGGCAGGUGAAGGAUCAGAGCCCCAUGCCCCAUCCUUGGAGCCAGGGGCUGGGACCCAGGUCACCAGGAGCCUCCAGUUGAAGUGGGGAGGUGACUGGGGUGGUGCAGUAGUGAGCCAUCCCCUCACACACUGUCAGCCUUGCCCACUGUGUCCUCCCUGGCCCCCCAGAGCUGUGUCCGCCUCCUGCCUGGCUGCCUGUGCUCGGCCCGUCCACAAGCCCAAAACAGCCCUAGGGUACUCAGUGUUUUCAGAGCCGCCUAGAUGCAGGACUGUUUGUGUUUUGGUUUUAAAUUUUUUAAAUUAAUU